CAAUAGCGUAUAUUAAAGUUGUUGCGGUAAAAAAGCUCGUAGUUGGAUUUCUACCGAAGAUAGCCGGUCGGGUCUUCGACCUUGUAUCUGGUUUUGUCUUUGGUAUCCUCAUAGGGAACGUUUCUGCGCUUUAUUGCGUGGUGCGGUAUCUAUGACUUUUACUUUGAGGAAAUUAGAGUGUUCACGGCAGGCAAACGCCUUGAAUAUAUUAGCAUGGAAUAAUAACAUAGGAUCUUCGUCCUAUUUUGUUGGUUUCUAGGGCUAAGAUAAUGAUUAAUAGGGAUAAUUGGGGGCAUCUGUAUCAACGCGUCAGAGGUGGAAUUCUUGGAUCGCGUUGCGACAAACUACUGCGAAAGCAUUUGCCAAGGAUGUUUUCAUUGA
rnacentral:rRNA from 1 species